CUUGGCUCCUGGUUCUUGCUUCUUCUUCUUCUUUUAGUUAUUAUGUAGUAAGUAAUGUCUUCACAUUUGCAAGCUUCAAUGUGUCUCCCACAACUCUCCCUCCUUAUGACUGGCGUUACAUAAGAGUUCAUGGACUUUUGGCUCUCUUUCAUGGCUGUGGUGAGUGUUUUCGUAUAUCUUGUUAUUAUCAGUGAAGCAGCAAAAAGAACAGUUCAUACAAUUGUAGCAAUAGCUGCUGCCCUCCUAGCUGCAACUGAUCCAACCAGAGCCACAAAUAUUGUUCUGGUAGUGGCAGCAGCAUUUCUAGCCCUUCUUGUUGGAUGUCUGCAAGAAUUUUAUACCAAGCAUAUGUCACUUUCAAGUUCUCAACAGGAUUGCCAGAACAUAUCCAAGAGGCGAGUUCUGUAAUUCGAAGACCCAAUAACAUGUUUCCUUUUGAGGGAAACCCUGGCCUGCAGGCAUUGGGGGAGCUUUAAGAGACCACAAAGGUGUCAUUAGAGGUGCCUUCUCCCACUCAAUUGCCAUCGAAGAUUCUAACUUUGCAGAGCUUCAAGCUAUCCUCCAAGGAAUUAGAUUUUUCCUUGCUUCCUCAUGGGCUGCCACUCACAAUUUGGAAGUUGAAAGCGAUUCUUCCAAUGCCAUCCUCUGGGUAAAAGAUCACAGCAAGGUUCCAUGGUGUGUGAAACUCACCUCCAACGCUAUUGAAGCUCUCUUUGAAACCAUCAAAAAGGUUACUUUCGGCCACAUCAGCAGGGAAAUGAACUCACUAGCUGACGGUCUGGCCAAAGCUGGAGUCUUAAGGGAUGCUAAUUUCAAUGCCUACUUUGUUCACCAAAGGGAUGAAAAUUUUGAACCUCCUGAGGAUCUCUUGUAAAUGAUUAUAGGAUUGACUGUCAUGUUAAGCAAACCUUUUGAUGGAUUAUUCGUGGGGUUUUUGUGUUGGUUGAUUUAUCAUUUCUGUUCUAUUGGCACAUCAUGUACUUCUGAUCUUUU